AUGGCGGCGGCCGGCGGCACCUCCUCCGACGAUGUCCCCGUCAUCCAGGCAGAGAACCUCACCAGCAACGUCAGGUCCAUCCUCUACAGCCGGACAUUCUUGUCGAUCAUCAGUGGAGUUGUUGCUGGUAUCUGGGGGUUCACAGGUCUGACGGGCUUCGUCUUCUACUUUCUGAUAAUGUUGGUAGCUUCUAUUGGGCUCUUGGCAAAGUCGAAGUUCUCAGUCCACACGUACUUUGAUAGUUGGAGCAGGAUUUUAGUUGAAGGAGUUUUGGCCGGCCUUAUGUCCUUCGUGCUGUUCUGGACGUAUCCUUGA
rnacentral:rRNA from 1 species